ACUACGGCUCACUGCGCAAUUUAAGUUCCUAUGCACAAUACAGAAGUUUCCAGUUCCUACGUCCACACCCUGAGGGAAUUAGGACUGUGCUCGACAGUCGGACCUCCAGGCCCUCCAUCCUCAUCCAUUGUAGCACGGGAAUCUCCAUUUCCUCCAGCACAAGCAGAAGCAACAGAAUUUCACAUGACGUGACCAUGCUUUCACAGUUAGCAGCCCUCCUGAAAUUUUUUAAGCAUGGGGACCACCAUCUGUUGCUCUAGAGAGUGCCAAGAAGGGCUGAGGAACCAUGGAGGAGAUCGCCACACACACGCGCCGCCGUCGUAAGUACAAAGUUGCCAUCUAGAAACACCCUCUGUUUCGCCAUUUUUUCUUCUUUUGGAAGAGGGAGUAGGAGAGGGACAAAGGAACAGCUUCACAUCUAUCAAACAGGGGGGGGAAGGAAAUGCAAAGCAAAAACGCAUGGCUCAUAGAAACUGGGGGAAAAAAUACACCCUUCAGUUUUGUUUUCCUUUUUUAAUACAAUUUAAAAAUAGAUUCAUUUGUUUUUUUGCAGACUGUCACUUUUCUGUACGAAAGAAGAAUCCAGUAUGAAAGGGGACAGGAAUGAAGGACUGAGGGAGAGGAAGGGGUAUGGAAUGUUAGAAGCUACCGGUUUGGCCAGCCUUCUCUUAUGAGGGGGGAACAAAAGAAAUGUGCAAAAACAUGGGCAUGCCCAAUUUCUUCCCCAUUGGUAUUGCAGAACAUAUCAAACAGAGGAUGCAUGAUGCAAACAGAACAGCUCUACAGGGUUUUUUUUU